rnacentral:rRNA from 1 species
UUCGGAGGCACCUGCACAGGUGCUGCAUGGCUGUCGUCAGCUCGUGUCGUGAGAUGUUGGGUUAAGUCCGCAACGAGCGCAACCCUUAUCCCUAGUUGCCAUCAGGUAAAGCUGGGAACUCUGGGAGACUGCCGGUGAUAAACCGGAGGAAGGCGGGGAUGACGUCAAGUCCUCAUGGCCCUUACAUCCCGGGCUACACACGUGCUACAAUGGCAGGUACAGAGGGCUGCGAAGCCGCGAGGUGGAGCGAAUCCCAGAAAACCUGUCUCAGUCCGGAUUGAAGUCUGCAACUCGACUUCAUGAAGGCGGAAUCGCUAGUAACCGCGAAUCAGCAGGCCGCGGUGAAUACGUUCCCGGGCCUU